rnacentral:rRNA from 1 species
UACGUAGGGUGCAAGCGUUGUCCGGAAUUAUUGGGCGUAAAGAGCUCGUAGGCGGUCUGUCACGUCGGAUGUGAAAAUCCAGGGCUUAACCCUGGACCUGCAUUCGAUACGGGCAGACUAGAGUUCGGUAGGGGAGACUGGAAUUCCUGGUGUAGCGGUGAAAUGCGCAGAUAUCAGGAGGAACACCGGUGGCGAAGGCGGCAUCCCGGACCGGCAUUGACGCUGAGGCGCGAAAGCCAGGGGAGCAAACGGG